rnacentral:lncRNA from 1 species
CCCGGGGUGCUCUCCGGGGACAGUUCCCAGCAGCAUGGCACUGCCACUCUCCUGACACACCGGCAACCGCGGCAACUCCGGACGCUCCAACCCGCCCAGAGGAGGUGAGAAGGGGACAACUUGCACCGGGCUCAGUUCGGGAGCAUUGGAGCAAAGCUGUCAGAAACGACGGAAGGAGGGACCGAGCCCGGAGGCGGGUCAGGGAGAGGUUCAAGUCCCGUGCCUUCCCCGCCCUGGCGUCCCCAGUCCUGCGGGAACAUCCCUGCUGUCGCCCCUCCUCCUCCUCUCCUGCCUCCCGCCCGCCCUGCCUUCUCCGCCGCCGCCGCAGGCGCUGAAGGACACGGCGGCUCGGUGGCCCGCCACCCCGGGGCGGCCGCGAGUUGAGGGAAGUCGCCGGGCGCCCCGGCCUGCCCGCGGCUCCCCACGCCGCCCCGCCCUCCCCGGAGCCGCGCUCGCUCACCGUCCGGUGCUGCUGGUGCGGCCGGUGGCGGCUGACGCCCAGCCCGGGAAAGCAGCCGGCAGUCAGCGCUCCGCAGCCGCCGGCGCCCCCGCCGCCGCCCCGGGAGCAGAGCAGCAGCAGGAGCGAUCUACCUGCGGCGGCCGCCAUCUCUCAACUGGAAACGGCGCUGGCCCAGGCAGCGCAGCGGACGGCAGGGGCGUGGCCAAGACCCGCCACUCAGCCUCACUAGGCCAAUUGCAGUCCUGAGUCAAGCCUCUGAGGCGGGGCUUCCUGCAAAGUCCAAUCAAAAGGCGGGAGAAUCCCGGCUUCGGGCUGUCUGUCACUUCCAGAGUUACCUUACGGGCAAAUUCUAGGGGACCGGUCUCUGGCGUUCGAGCCUCUGGGAAUGGAGCAGUAAGGGAUUGCCCGUUCGAUUUGGCUAAUCUUUACCAAGUGACUUGAUAAGAGAGCUAGGGGAAAUAGAUACCUGUGCAGAGCUUGUUCCGAGUUGAGUUCUGAGUGUUCUAAGUUGUCUGCCUAAGCACCCAACUGGUCAUUUUAAGGAGGUUGGCUACAACUCUCGACCGCAUGUCUAAAGUUAGCAUCCAUAACAGAUAGCAUUUGGAUGUGCCGAGACUAACCCUGAAUUGUAAAGUUAUCCAAUGGCAGUGCUGUGUAGCAUGGUAUUAGGUAGAAUGGUUGUAGCUUCAAACUCCCAGGAUGAGUACCUGCCAUUGGGCUGAAUGAACAGAACGCUACACAAUUGAAACAUCUGAUUCUUUUCCCCAGCACCCUUAGAUCCGCAUUCCUCUCUAAAAGCAACACUGUUCGUUACCAUGUUUGACCUUGGUCUCCCUUUUAAAAUAAACUACAAAAACAGAAGACGCCAGCAAUGUAAUAAAGCCAUGUAAAGA